GAUGAACGCUGACAGAAUGCUUAACACAUGCAAGUCUUUGGCGAAGCUGUGCUUGCACCGCCUAGCCAAGGCGGACGGGUGAGUAACGCGUAAGGAACUUGCCCUGCAGUCAGGGAUAACAGACGGAAACGACUGAUAAGACCUGGUAAAGUCAGGCGGACUCAUGUCCAGCCUGAUGAAAAGAGAUGCUGCAGGAGAGCCUUGCGUCCUAUUAGCUUGUUGGUGGGGUAAUGGCCCACCAAGGCGAUGGUAGGGAGCCGGCCUGAGAGGGUGGACGGCCACAAGGGGACGGAGAUACGGCCCGUACUCCUACGGGAGGCAGCAGUGGGGAAUAUUGGACAAUGGGGGCAACCCUGAUCCAGCAAUUCGGUGUGCACGAUGAAGGUUUUCGGAUUGUAAAGUGCUUUCAGCAGGGAAGAAAAAAUGACGGUACCUGCAGAAGAAGCGACGGCUAAAUACGUG
rnacentral:rRNA from 1 species